rnacentral:rRNA from 1 species
GACGAACGCUGGCGGCGUGCUUAACACAUGCAAGUCGAACGCUGAAGCCCUUUCGGGGGUGGAUGAGUGGCGAACGGGGGAGUAACACGUGGGUCAUCUGCCCUGCACUCUGGGAUAAGCCUUCGAAACGGGGUCUAAUACCGGAUAGGACACAUCGCCGCAGGGCGUGUGCGGGGAACUUUCCGGCGGUUCAGGUUGAGCCCGCGGCCUAUCAGCUUGGUGGGGGGGUGAUGGCCUAACGAGGCGACGUCGGGUAGCCGGCCUGUGAGGGUGACCGGCCACACGGGGACUGAGACACGGCCCAGACUCCUACGGGGGGCAGCAGUGGGGAAUCUUGCGCAAUGGGCGAAAGCCUGACGCAGCAACGCCGCGUGGGGGAUGACGGCCUUCGGGUUGUAAACCUCUUUCGACCGGGACGAAGGGUGACUGACGGUACCGGUAGAAGAAGCACCGGCUAACUACGUGCCAGCCGCCGCGGUAA